UCAGGGAAAGAUAAUAACAGAAAAAUCAGCGAAAAUGAGAGUCUCGCAUCAUGUCAUCCUUGGUUUCUUUACAUAAUGUGCCAAUAAGGCAAAGAACCGCUCGAAGUAAUGAAAAUAUUACUGCGUUCAGGCAAGUGUUGCUGUUUGUCGAUUCCAAGACGUUCAAGACAACUUGGCGGAUUUUGAGAAAGAAUUUGGGCUUGCACCCGUAUAAAAUUGUUCUAACUCAAGAACUGAAGCCAAUAUAUUCAUGUGCAGAUUCAUUAAUUUUUUUUCGUGAUAUAAUCAUUUAUUCACAGAACUUAUAAAACACUUAUCAAGUUUAAGAAAAUUUUAAAAUAUUGAAUACUUUAAAAAUUAUAGGCCUUUGAACCAAAAAUUUAAAUUUUUUGUCAAUAAUUUCAUAAUAAACUGGGCAUAAAAAAGUUUUGAAUCAGCCUAAAUUUAACUAGAUUUUGCAUAGAAGUACCAGAAUCCAUUUUUUUAAAGAUAAUCUCAAAAUUUAAGUCGAUCGGAUAAAAAAUAUUAAAGUUAUUUGAUCGCCAAGUGUAAAAAAGUAGUUUCGAGAAAAACGCGUUCAAAGUUUCACAAUACGGUGCGCGCACUCAAAUAUUCUAUACCUGAACCGGAGAUAGGCUUAUUAUACCCGCUUAAAGUGGUUUGAGAAAGUUUUUCACGCUACAAAUCAACUUGAAACUUAAGUUAUAAUGUAGUAUGACUCUAAAGCAUGAUUUAGGCGAGAAAAAACGAUUGACUUUUUUGUAGGAAAUUAAAUUUCCUACAAGUUUGUUAUUAACAAUUUUUCUGUAGCUAGUGUUGUUUACGAGAAAAAUCAAAAAAAAACUCGAAUUUCAUGGAAAAAUUAGGUUGGGGGGACCGUACUACCCCGCAGGUGCAAGUUAUAACUUUACCGCAAUGGAGACUUUUGUAGAGCGUUCAAUUCUGAGGAAUACCUAAUGACGGGUGAGAUAAUCCCAUCAAAUGCCGCUGAGUUAUAAAAUUAAAAAGAAAAAAAAUCAAGUUUUACGUGUAUUUUACAUGGGAAAUCUUUACAGGCCUUGGUCUAGUACUUAAUAUUAAAAUUAAAAUACAUAAUGUACAUACAUUUAUAAAAAGUUUAUAGUGAGGAAUCAAUUUGGUAAGUAUGGUUAAUAUAAUAUUUUUAUAAUAGAAUAUCUUCUAUAUUAUAUAAGUUGCGGACAAAACCGGUAUGGACAUGGUGAUAAGUGUUUUUGCGUAUCACCUCAAUAAGUGAAAAGUGUGUUUAACUCAGUCAAUUAGCAUAGAAAUUACAACCUUAUAAGUUUGAGGGAUGUAAUAUAUUAUAUUUCUUAAUCCGGAGAAACUCAUCUAUCCAUCCAUACCAUCAAAAUUGAUUGCGGCUUUAUGUAUGUACUUGUGUAUUACAAAGCGUUUUUAUUGUUAUCUUAUUUUAUCUGUUUGGCCACAAUAGUGAUAACCAAAGUAAUGGCGAUUACUUCCCCACGCGUUUAAACGCUCACAAAGAUGGCAUUAACUUGGUUUGAAUCACGGAUAAUGUGGGCGUGAUGACUAUAUCCAAAUUUAGCUUGUAUGGGUCACUAGAACCUCGAAGGUUUUCAUUGAUGAUGUGAUCAAAGAGUUGAACGAGAGCGGCAAUGCGUUAUCCCAACUGAAAAUCGAGUGGGAUAGAUAGAGAUAUUUUCCAAUGGUGACUCCAAUGUUUUACUGCCUUGCAGGGAUGUGUCAUUGUGGUAGCCAACGAUUAUCUCUCGAAACAGGCCAAUGAGAACGCCGCACUACUUUUCAGUGUUUGCUGAGCUGUUAUGCGAAAGCUAUUCCACAUCAAUAAGCACAUGUCAUGAUUAGCAAGGCUGUGUGUUGCAUUUUGCUGGUGUGUCGGCAUAUAACCAUUGAGUGUACGGCGUCUAAAGGAAAUCAUUAAUAUCACCAAAAACCCAAGAACUUUCUAACAGUAUUCCUUACUAUUUUUGCAGUGCGAAAGGUAACGGUCAAUACUGCUAUUUAUAAGCAGAGGACUGUCAUCUCGGAGGAUCAUGUCUACAAUGAGAUGACCGAUUUCAACCCAACACGCAUUUCGCCAUGGUUGCUGCACAUCGAAUUGAAAUAUUCCAAGCUUAUACUUGUAGCUAAACUGAUGUUAUAUUAUUAUAUAUAUAAUUUAGGCCAUAUGUCGUCAUUAUAAUAAUAUAUUAGUAUGAAUAAUUUAAUCAUAGCUGGCCAAUAUUGUAUAUUUCUAUGUUGAAUAUGUAUAUAUACUUUAUUUAUUGGAAAUAUUAUUAAAAAUUGUUUCUUUUGGUUCAUUUUAGCACAAAAUUGAAAGUGGAAGAUUUCUUCAUAUUAACCUAAAAUCUUUAGUUUGGUUAAAAAAUAAGAAUUGAUCAUUUUGUUUGGUUUCCUUAACAUAGGUAAUCAUUUAAUUGGUUACCAAAACAAUGUUAAGAUAAUCAAUCAAAAUUUUUCGGAAGUUAUGGAAGAAUGUUAAAAUUUCAGUACAAUUUUUGACGUUUCCUAACGUGUAGCCAAAUUAACUACCGUAGAUAACAUAUCUAUAUUAACACUCAUGUUAAAUAUUCAACUUUUUUAUAUGAGUUGUGUACAAACUUGCAUGCAUUUAUUUUUAAGUUAUAAUGUAGAUACUUUACUUUGACAAAUAUCUACAAAAGCAAAUAGUUUUUAAUUCUUUUUAUUCAUUUUAGAUAUUUGCAAAUUUUGAUGGAAAGUUCUCAAGCUGAACUUCAAUAUAUAUAUAUACUAAAUAUACAAUAAUAUUUUAAGUAAUUAAUUUUGUACUUAAUACUAAUAGGCAACUUAAAUCUUAUAAUUUAAAAUCUAAAAUGGUGAUAUUGAUAUUGUUUAAUUAGGGUACAUGUAUGUACCUAAUAUGCGAAUAUUAACAAUUAGUAAAUUAAUGUAACUAUUAUUGUACACUAUAAAAGUUUAAGUUCAAUAUUGACUAUCUAUAAACCAUAUAUACGAUUUUUAAUAAAAAAACCUACCUACCUACCUAGCGAAAAAUAUUAUUGUAAAGAAAAUUUAGUUUGUAAUAUAUAUACUUACAUACAUAUAUACAUGUAUAAAUGCUAAUAACUAAAAGCUAAUCUAAAACAAUUACGAAAAGUUUGAAAAGUAUAAAGAAGAAAUGAACCAUAAUGUAUAAACAUGUAAAUUGAAAAAAAAAUUAAAUAAAUAAAACGAGAA